GGACUAUGACGUCAUGGCUAGCGGAGGCAGCAGUAACAGAAUUUUGUGCAAUAUAUGAAGGUAAGACACAGAGAGGGCACCUUACCUAGUCCGUCAAAUUAAGUGCCAGCAGACGCGGUGAAACUUAAGGGCUAGUUUUGUGGGCAAAAGCGUAAAGGGUGUGAUAGGCCGUUUUAAUUAAAAAGGGUUUUAUAAUUUAAGAAGGUAAAUGGAAUUUUUUUGUAGCGGUGGAAUGUGUAAAUAGAAAAAAGAACUUUAGACGUGAAGACUAUUUAUUUUUGAGAUUAUAGUGUGAUGGCUAAAACACGAGAGUAUGGGGAGCAAACAGGAUUAGGGACCCUGGUAGUCUAUACUGUAAAUAAUGAAAAAGAUGUGAAGCAAUCCUAAAAAGUCAGAAAUUUUCCGCUUGAGUAGUACGACCGCAAGGUUAAAAUUCAAAAAACUUGGCUGUUCACUGUUUUAAUUAGAGGAGCGUGUCGUUUAAUUCGAUAGUCCGCGAGAGACCUUACCCAAACUUGAAUCCUUCAUUGACAGGUAUUGCAUGGCCGUCGUCAAUUUGUGUAUUAAACAUAAAACAGAUUUAACCCAGUGGUUUGUCACUUGGAUGAAGUCAGGUCUUAUUGUCCUAAUGUUUGGGGAUUAGAUGCGCUACAUUUUUUUAUACAAUAGGAAACUUUGAGUGUGAAACCUGAAAAUAAUAGUUCGGAAAGUGCCUGGAAGAUAACGGAAAGUUGUAGUUAAUACUAAUUGACACGAGAGCGUUUCACUGUCUUUUAUCAGUGUUAGGACUGACUGCACGUCGUCUUUGCUCCUCAGGGUAAGUGAUUGUUUGUGACUGGCGGGUGAUGAGCCAAGGCACAAUAAGUCCGACCUCGUAACAAGUAGAAAGGGGGGAACA
rnacentral:rRNA from 1 species